rfam:Microbacterium sp. AR7-10 contig_84, whole genome shotgun sequence.
AUGAUCCGUGCGGGAGAGCCCGAUGAACACGGUCGGGCACCGAAGGAGCAAGCCUCCCCGCCAAUCUCUCAGGUACCCCUACCGCCCCGGUCCG